rfam:Brassica oleracea var. oleracea cultivar TO1000 chromosome C6, whole genome shotgun sequence
GGUGGAGGAAGAGAGCUUUCUUUGGUCCACUCAUGGAGUAAUAUGUGAGAUUUAACUGACUCUCGACUCAUUCAUCCACAUACCAAAUGAAAGAAUAUGUUUCCCAUAUGGUAAAUGAAUGAAUGAUUCUAGAGACAAAUUGAAUCUUCACUUCUCUAUGCUUGGACUGAAGGGAGCUCCUUUUCUUUGUUUU